rnacentral:rRNA from 1 species
GACGAACGCUGGCGGCGUGCCUAAUACAUGCAAGUAGAACGCUGAAGGAGGAGCUUGCUUCUCUGGAUGAGUUGCGAACGGGUGAGUAACGCGUAGGUAACCUGCCUGGUAGCGGGGGAUAACUAUUGGAAACGAUAGCUAAUACCGCAUAAGAGUAGAUGUCGCAUGACAUUUGCUUAAAGGGUGCAAUUGCAUCACUACCAGAUGGACCUGCGUUGUAUUAGCUAGUUGGUGAGGUAACGGCUCACCAAGGCAACGAUACAUAGCCGACCUGAGAGGGUGAUCGGCCACACUGGGACGGAGACACGGCCCAGACUCCUACGGGAGGCAGCAGUAGGGAAUCUUCGGCAAUGGACGGAAGUCUGACCGAGCAACGCCGCGUGAGUGAAGAAGGUUUUCGGAUCGUAAAGCUCUGUUGUAAGAGAAGAACGAGUGUGAGAGUGGAAAGUUCACACUGUGACGGUAUCUUACCAGAAAGGGACGGCUAACUACGUG